GACGAACGCUGGCGGCGUGCUUAAUACAUGCAAGUCGAACGCAGUGGGGACGGGUGAGUAACACGUGGGUAACCUCCCAUCAGAGGGGAUAACCAUUGGGAACAGGUGCUAACCUGAUACUGAUGGAUGGACCCGCGGUGGAGUAGCUAGUUGGUGCGGUAACGGCUCACCAAGGACACGAUGCAUAGCCGACCUGAGAGGUGGAGCGGCCACACUGGGACUGAUGCACGGCCCAGACGCCUAGGGUAGGCAGGAGUAGAGAAUCUUCGGCAAUGGACGAAAGUCUGACCGAGCAACGCCGCGUGAGUGAAGGAGGUUUUCGGAUCGUAAAACUCUGUUGUUAGAGAAGCGGUAUCUAACCAGAAAGCCACGGCUAACUACGUGCCAGCAGCCGCGGUAAUUC
rnacentral:rRNA from 1 species